rnacentral:rRNA from 1 species
CAGAACGAACGCUGGCGGCGUGGCUAAGACAUGCAAGUCGAACGGACUAUAUUGAAGAGUAAUCGGAUCUAUAGUUAGUGGCGUAAGGGCGAGGAAUAAGUAGGUAACGUACCCUGUACUUCAGAAUAGCGUCCCGAAAGGGGCGGUAAUACUGGAUGAUGUCAUUAUCCUCAAGGAUAAUGAUCAAAGAUUUAUCGGUAUAGGAGCGGCCUAUUUCCCAUCAGCUUGUUGGUAAGGUAACGGCUUACCAAGGCUACGACGGGUAUCGGGACUGAGAGGUUGACCCGACGCAUCGGAACUGAGACACUGUCCGGACCUCCACGGAGGGCUGCAGUAACGAAUAUUGCACAAUGGGCGAAAGCCUGAUGCAGCAACGCCGCGUGUAGGAUGAAGCUCCUCGGAGUGUAAACUACUGUCAGGGGUUAGAAAGUACGCUUCGGCGUAUUGAUCAGCCCCAGAGGAAGUCACGGCUAACUUCGUGCCAGCAGCCGCGGUAAUACGAAGGUGGCUAGCGUUGUCCGGAAUUACUGGGCGUAAAGGGCGCGUAGGCGGGAUAGCAAGUCAGUGGUGCAAACUUGAGGCUUAACUUCAAGCUUGCCAUUGAUACUGUUAUUCUUGAGUUCGGCAGAGGGAAGUGGAAUUCCUGGUGUAGCGGUGAAAUGCGUAGAUAUCAGGAAGAACACCGGUGGCGAAGGCGGCUUCCUGGUCCGAUACUGACGCUGAGGCGCGAAAGCGUGGGGAGCGAACAGGAUUAGAUACCCUGGUAGUCCACGCUGUAAACGAUGGGUACUAGGUGUUGGUUGUAAUGAUCAGCGCCGGAGCAAACGCAUUAAGUACCCCGCCUGGGGAAUACGGUCGCAAGACUGAAACUCAAAGGAAUUGACGGGGGCCCGCACAAGCGGUGGAGCAUGUGGUUUAAUUCGAUGCAACGCGAAGAACCUUACCUGGGCUUGAACUGCAGGUGCUAUCUCCUGAAAGGGAGUUUCCUUCGGGACGCCUGUAGAGGUGCUGCAUGGCUGUCGUCAGCUCGUGCUGUGAGGUGUUGGGUUAAGUCCCGCAACGAGCGCAACCCCUGUCCCUAGUUGCCAUCAGGUCAAGCUGGGAACUCUAGGGGGACUGCCCCGGAUAACGGGGAGGAAGGUGGGGGUGACGUCAAGUCAUCAUGGCCCUUACGUCCAGGGCUACACACGUGCUACAAUGGCCGGUACAACGGGUAGCGAGACAGUGAUGUGGAGCAAAUCCCUUAAAACCGGUCUCAGUUCAGAUUGCAGUCUGCAACCCGACUGCAUGAAGUUGGAAUCGCUAGUAAUCGCGGAUCAGCAUGCCGCGGUGAUACGUUCCCGGGCAUUGUACACACCGCCCGUCACGCCAUGGGAGUCGGUAGCACCCGAAGCCGGUGGCCCAAUCCUGCUUGCAGGAGGG